ensembl:lncRNA
AGACCGGCAGGACGUGGAGCUCGCGCAGCGUUUUUCCUCAGUAACGGACCGUUAAAUUCAGAUUAACGGGAAAAUAAAGCCGUAAAGAGACGACAGAGGAAAAUGUCAACGGAGGUUUCUGUGAUUGAUCGGGUCCGUCCGGUCCUGACAGAGUUGGGUUCUUCAGGUUCGGAGUGACCACAGGAGAACAGUCCAUGUACUGACCAAUCACCUCUGGUCCAGCAGAGCGUUCGGAAAGAAGCUCCCAAAGCAGAGAGGAAGGAAACCGACAGCAACGCCUCGGCUUAAGGACCGCUUCAUCCAACAGACUCCUCCAGAUAGAAACAUCUCACCGUUUUAACCGAACAUGAGUCCAAACUGGAGAUCAACCCUCAACUCAAGAUGAACCCUUAUGUGACGUCUCACUUCAGGAGGGAUCUGUUUCCCCAUUUUCAUUUGUUGUAGACUCCUGUCCUCCCCGCUGUGAAUCAGAUGACUUCUUCCUGUAGUUGUUAAAUCAGUAGCUGCUCAGGGCUGAGGACUGGUUCUGUUCUGGUUCUGGGAAGGUAAAUACUAGCACUUGCUGACGGAUGUUUUUGCACGUUUAGCUCAACUUUUAAGAACAGAUUCUGCAAAAUGGAGGCGCUUUAAACCCUCACGCAUGCUCCUCUCAUAGCACUUUCUUUUGCAAGUUGUUGUCGCCUUAUUUCUCAACUCUUCUUUCAACUGUGGCGCCUGAAAACCUCCAGAAAAAUGUAAAACUGCCCCGACCUGUGCACUUACCCUGUCAGAGGCAGAUCAAAGUAAUCUGUUGUUUUCUGUCUUUCUUCUUUUUCUUCUUCUUAUCUCCUGUCAGGUGAUUUCUCAGCCGUAAUGCUGAGCUCUAAUGAGGUACGUCUGCUCUGAGGCCGUCGCAGGUGAUUGUUAGCAGCAGUUUGUUAUUCAGGUCUUUGGACAAACCGACGAUGGCCGACAGACAGAUAUGCAGACACUCGGACAGAAAGUGUGAAAUUGUCAAAGCGGUGACAUGAUUGGGCAAAAAAAUGGCUAACAAGAUGCGGUUCUUCCAGCUGGGCCCCUCUUGCUGGGCAUUUCUUUGAGAAAGUUCUAG